UACAGAGGGUGCGAGCGUUAAUCGGAAUUACUGGGCGUAAAGCGCACGUAGGCGGCUUGGUAUGUCGGGUGUGAAAUCCCCGGGCUCAACCUGGGAACUGCAUCCGAAACUGCCUUGCUAGAGUAUGGGAGAGGGAAGUGGAAUUUACGGUGUAGCAGUGAAAUGCGUAGAGAUCGUAAGGAAGACCAGUGGCGAAGGCGGGUCUCUGGACAGUUCCUGACACUGAGGCACGAAGGCCAGGGGAGCAAACGGG
rnacentral:rRNA from 1 species